CCGUCCUGGUGACAUUUAGGCAGAUAUAUAAACCGUUGUGCCAGACGCUCGCAGCCAGAAGAUUUCUGCAGUAACACUCACCUGUCUGCCUACCUGUCGUACUGAUCCACCUGUCUGCCGACCUGUCGUACUGAUCCAAGGACCGGUCUGACCUCAUCAUGCUCACCAGGAACGUUGUUCUUCUGUUCUCGCUGUUCGUCCUGCAGGUGAACGGAGACCUCGACUCCAACGAUGCUGGAAUCAACCUGUCGACAGAUAAAGACUCUACAUCUGAUGAAGCCCCGACAGAGAGUAUGAACGCCGUCUCUUCUGAUCAACCAGAUGAAUCCCAAUAUUACGGAGGAGGACCUUCAG